GUGAACCAGUACCGUGAGGGAAAGGCGAAAAGAACCCCGGCGAGGGGAGUGAAAAAGAACCUGAAACCGUGUACGUACAAGCAGUGGGAGCACAGGUUUACCUGUGUGACUGCGUACCUUUUGUAUAAUGGGUCAGCGACUUAUAUUCUGUAGCAAGGUUAACCGAAUAGGGGAGCCGGAGGGAAACCGAGUCUUAAUUGGGCGUUAAGUUGCAGGGUAUAGACCCGAAACCCGGUGAUCUAGCCAUGGGCAGGUUGAAGGUUGGGUAACACUAACUGGAGGACCGAACCGACUAAUGUUGAAAAAUUAGCGGAUGACCUGUGGCUGGGGGUGAAAGGCCAAUCAAACCGGGAGAUAGCUGGUUCUCCCCGAAAGCUAUUUAGGUAGCGCCUCGUGAAUUCAUCUCCGGGGGUAGAGCACUGUUUCGGCUAGGGGGUCAUCCCGACUUACCAACCCGAUGCAAACUGCGAAUACCGGAGAAUGUUAUCACGGGAGACACACGGCGGGUGCUAACGUCCGUCGUGAAGAGGGAAACAACCCAGACCGCCAGCUAAGGUCCCAAAGUCAUGGUUAAGUGGGAAACGAUGUGGGAAGGCCCAGACAGCCAGGAUGUUGGCUUAGAAGCAGCCAUCAUUUAAAGAAAGCGUAAUAGCUCACUGGUCGAGUCGGCCUGCGCGGAAGAUGUAACGGGGCUAAACCAUGCACCGAAGCUGCGGCAGCGAACGUAUCACUUAAAGCGAUUCAGCGGGUUACGAUUGACGGAGCGAAGCGACGUCAAAGCGUAUACAAAGUCGAGUCGGUUUAAGGAUACGUUCGUUGGGUAGGGGAGCGUUCUGUAAGCCUGUGAAGGUGGCCUGUGAGGGUUGCUGGAGGUAUCAGAAGUGCGAAUGCUGACAUAAGUAACGAUAAAGCGGGUGAAAAGCCCGCUCGCCGGAAGACCAAGGGUUCCUGUCCAACGUUAAUCGGGGCAGGGUGAGUCGACCCCUAAGGCGAGGCCGAAAGGCGUAGUCGAUGGGAAACGGGUUAAUAUUCCCGUACUUGGUGUUACUGCGAAGGGGGGACGGAGAAGGCUAUGUUGGCCGGGCGACGGUUGUCCCGGUUUAAGCGUGUAGGUGUGUGUUCCAGGUAAAUCCGGUUCACUUUAACACUGAGGCGUGA
rnacentral:rRNA from 1 species